AUAAAUUUACGUGCAUAAUUGUUAUUUUGUAGAAAUAAAGUAUCAAGAAUAAUCGGGACGUCAAAUUGAUCAAAUAGAAUGAAAAGUCAUAGCUUGAGCAAGUUGAGAAUGUCCCACAACAUAAAUUAGAUCUAGAAGACUCGAGGGGGUAGCGUUAAAACGCUACAUCAGAGCGUCUCAACGCUACGAUGAAUAAUGAGAUAGUUCAUGCUUCGCAUCGUAGCGUCUCAAUGCCAGUCAUAGCAUCUCAACGCUACGACACCAGAAUCCGUUUAUUUUUAGUAUUUAGGGUACAGCGUCAAGACGUGCUGCCCCUAGUGUCGAGACAAUGUCCUGAAUUUUUCUAUAAAAUAAAGCCUUCGCAGAUCAAUUGAUGAUGGGGGAUCCAACCAUGGAAAAUUGGAGCGCAUUUAGACGAAGAAGUUGGGUUUCGAAGAUCGAUCGUGGAGAUUGAGUCGGGGACGAUCAAUCAACAUGACAUAUUCACUUUCUAUCUCUUUCACUACAACAAAUCCAAAAUAGGGAGUCCAGCAGUGAUAGUCGGAGUCCACGGCUUCGAUCGACGGUGACACAGAGGACGACGAACUCCACGGCUUCGAUUGAUGGCGAUAGCAACGGAGGAUGACGAACUCCAUGGCUUCGAUUGAUAGCGACAACAACGAAGGACUUCGACAGCGAAGUCCAAUGGAGAACUCUACGACUUCGAUUGACGGCGGCAUCCACCUCUUCGUGCAGUGGGUAAGUUUCUUAUGCAUGUCAAAAUAUUCCAAUUUAUUGUUUUGAAUCUCUAUUGCUUCUUUGUACUGAUAAAGGGCUGCAAUUUAUUUCGGAUAUCCUUUUUUUGCCGUAAAGGAUAUUUGGUGGAGAAGGAUUGAAUUUUGUUUUGAAAAGUUGUGUUGUUCUUUUUUUUGGUCGAAAUUGUAGUUGGGUUUAGUUCAAUAUGUUAGCAAUAUGUCAAUAUCUUUUAACAAUCCCGGAAUGUUUUAAGAAAUUUAAUUAAUGAGUUAUCUGCUCUUAUAUUUUAGACUAAUGUCAUCCCUCUCCACUUACUUUGAAGUUGAUAUUUUUUCGUUAUAGAGAAAAAAUGAAUGCUUUUGGUAAUUCAACCCAUGUUGAUUUUUACAAGCAUAUAAAGCUAUUGUUUUAUAAGGUAAUGUUCCUUCCCUCAUACUGUUUAUUUCGUUUUAUAAUUUCUCUUCAUUUAUGGCUUCUAGUGGUGAUGAGCUGAAAUCACUUGAGUCUCGAGUUCAUAUUAUAGUUGCUUUCAUAAAGUAAGACUCGAUAGCCAAGCCUUUGAUAUGGAACUCUACCACAAUAGAUUUAGCCUGUUAAAUUUGUGCUCCAAUUUAAGGGGUGAUCUUCGUUUUUUUUUAAUAGAUUAUUUUUAUUUUGUACCAUCUAAUGCUUUUUCUUUUAUCAUCUUGCUACAUUAACUAAAAACUUCUUAUGGCAGCAUAUAAAAAUGUGGCAAAUGUAGUGUCUAACUCUAUAUUUAUGACGAUUGAGAAAACUAUACAAAUGAUGUUGCAUUAACGAAAAUAUUUUUUUUUUGGAACGUUGAGUAGACAGAUUGUAAGUAAUAGGAAAGAGAGAAAAAAAAGGAAAAGUUGUCUUUUUACUAAUUUGCUUGCGGGGAUCCUAUCUUAAAUAGAUUUUUCAUUUAGGGGCUAUCUAGUGGUUAUUGGUAUGUUGAUAACUGGCAUCUCUGAUACAUACCACUUUAAAAUUCUAUGUGAUAUUGUUUCAACCAUCUAAUGCAAAAUGUGCUGGCCUAUGUGGUGGAGUGGAGUACAAAAUUUUUUGUAAGAAGUAAUUGUAUCUCGAUUUGAUGCACUUUGUAUUGUCUGCUAAUUUUGACUUCUAUUUAUUAUGUUUUUAUUAUGUUGCAGCUCGACUGCUAUUGUUUAUGUCUUUUAUGGAUAUGCACCUCUUAGUAUUUGUCUUGUCCAACAAGCUGUUAGAUCUGGAUGGUGAGCCUUUUUUGUCUGCAAGUCAUGCCUUGUUGUCUUACCUUGUUUAGCUCCACCCUAAAAAUUAAUAUUGUUAAAAAAUUAUAGAAUUAUUCAAAUUGGUCUUUUCUUUUUAAUUUACUUUAUAAUUGUACUCCUUUUGCUAUGAACUCUAAUUGGAUUUGGUUUUCUCCAAGCUUUGAGGGCAGGGUUGUCAUUGACUUAUAAAUGUUAGUUGUUAUUUUACUUUGUUGUUUAAGUUUUUUCCCUCUAUUAUUUUUGUUUUCAUUCUCAACUUUUCUCAGAAUCUAUUGUAUCUCAGUUAUUGUAUGUGCCUAAAUUUUUUACUUCAAAUAUGAUUUACCUCCAUUUUCCAAAUUCAGUGUGGCUGUAUCAGGCGUCCCAUUACAUAAAUUUUUAAGCUAUUACCUAGGCCUCAUUCAGAAACAAAGAGACUCAGCAAAUUUGUGGCUUUACUAUUUUUAUAUUGUUUCCAAUUUUUCUAUCCCUUUUCUGUCAGAUUUAUUUUGGGUUAUUCCAAUAUCCUUACAUUUCUGUCUCUCUCUCCCUAUUUUGGUUUUGAAAUCUAGGGAUGAUUCUUUAGCAAUUCAUCCUAUGAUUCAAUGCAAGGGGCUUCAGCCAGAAUUGACAAAGUGGUAGAUGGAAGGCACCACUUGUACUCGUCAUUUUUUUGGAGGAGUAACUUUGUUGGGAUUUCUGCUCUUCUAUUUCUCAGUGGUAAGGUAUGGUAUUAAGUCGUCUAUUAAACUUUGGUAUCUUCUAUGGUUUUAAAGAAUUUGAUUUAAAUCCUAUACUUAUGACUAUGCUCUCACAUUCUGUUUACUUGUAGCUUGGGGUAGUUCUUCUUCCUAAUGCAUAUGCUUAAUUUUAAGUUUUAUUUGUUACACAUUGAUAUGGUAAACAGGUUCAAUUUUCUAGCUGUGGAUUUCCUUUCUCAUAAUUACGUAUUCUAUUACCAGUUAUGAAAAGCAGGAUUUGGAAAAUGGUACUUUUUAUGUUACAGUUUGGAAACCUGGGAAGUGUCCUCGGCAACUAGGUUCUAUCGAAUGUGGGUACUAUUUGCAAAAGUAUAUACGAGAAAUAGUGUGUAACCCUAAUACUCCCAUAACUGAACUUUUUAAUACAAAAAAUGCCUACAAACAAGAAGAAAUCGACGAAGUUCAAAUAGAAUGGACAUCAUUUGUUGGACGAUUUGUGUAGUACCUAUGGAUUCAUUACUUUUGUUUAUUUGAUAUAAGUAUUUGGUUCGGGUUACUUUCUGUAGUAGUACUUAGUAGAUUUGAAAUACUUGGUCUUGUUUAUAAUAUAUAGAAGUUUGGAUUGUUAUGCUGAAUGUAGUUUUGUUGGAGGGACGGGCGGUCCCAUUUGUUUCUGUGUGGAAGGGGUGUUAAUAUAGAAGUGUUUGAUUGUUGCUAAA